UGAUCCAGGAUUGGCCUGUGUCUGGCCC
rnacentral:piRNA from 1 species